ACGGAAGGCAUCAGUGUUUCAUAUUGGGCAAUGGGCGAAAGCCUGACCCAGCAACGCCGCGUGAAGGAAGAAGGCCUUCGGGUUGUAAACUUCUUUUAUCAGGGACGAAGGAAGUGACGGUACCUGAUGAAUAAGCCACGGCUAACUACGUGCCAGCAGCCGCGGUAAUACGUAGGUGGCAAGCGUUAUCCGGAUUUACUGGGUGUAAAGGGCGCGUAGGCGGGGAUGCAAGUCAGAUGUGAAAUCUAUGGGCUUAACCCAUAAACUGAAUUUGAAACUGUAUCUCUUGAGUGUCGGAGAGGUAGAUGGAAUUCCUAGUGUAGCGGUGAAAUGCGUAGAUAUUAGGAGGAACACCAGCGGCGAAGGCUAUCUACUGGACGAUAACUGACGCUGAGGCGCGAAAGCGUGGGGAGCAAACAGGAUUAGAUACCCUGGUA
rnacentral:rRNA from 1 species